GCAUGUCUGUUGAAACUAGUUAUCAGACUUCAUUGAUCAAUGUGCUAAAGUUACUGCAACUGGGGUCUUGUCAACAAAUAAUCCAAAUCUAAACUUCUACGGCUUCGGUGUUUUCAUUUGCAGGUUGGCCUGUCCAUUAAUUGUUAAAAGGGGAUGUCAAAAUGAUCCGCUUUCACUCCACAGCAUGCAAAUGUUGUGCUCUUACUGUAAUUUCACGGCAUGCAAAUGUUAGGCUCUUUCUGUAACUCAGCUUGAAUUAGAAGAUUUCACUGCUGGUCCAAAAUUGAAGUUGCAAUCUAAUGUUGAGGCCAGCGCUGAAGCAAACUAAGAUGUGAGCGGUACUUUGAGGUCAUGGGGUUCGAGGAGGCUGAGGGUGGUGGAGGAAGAGUGAGAGGUGGUCUGCGGCUUUUUGAAGGAUGGCGUGAUGCGAGUCCUCAGACGAUUUUGUUCUCCAGCAGAGCGAUCCUCUUGGACAUAUUCUCUAGUGAGACACUCGUUAAGAUCAACAACAGCAGCCGUGACAUAAUAAUGAAGGCUACUUUUUUAAUGUGGGACCUUUAUCACACACAAGUUUUGACAAGAUCUGACCUUGUGGAGUUCGUUGACUUUGGCCUCCACACAUUGAUGAAAAGUAAAUUGUUUGGCAAUUUAGUGCUCUGUCCAGAUUCUAAUUUGGUAGCACUAAAGGGCCUAAAAUGGCCACUGGGUAGCAAAAUGGCUGACAUUGUGACUCAACUCUUACGAUAAAGGAUAUUUUUCUUUGUUA